rnacentral:rRNA from 1 species
UACGUAGGUGGCAAGCGUUGUCCGGAUUUACUGGGCGUAAAGAGCGCGCAGGCGGUCGUGCAAGUCGCGUGUGAAAGCCCCCGGCUCAACUGGGGAGGGUCACGCGAUACUGAUCGACUCGAAGGCAGGAGAGGGUAGUGGAAUUCCCGGUGUAGUGGUGAGAUGCGUAGAUAUCGGGAGGAACACCAGUGGCGAAGGCGACUACCUGGCCUGUUCUUGACGCUGAGGCGCGAAAGCUAGGGGAGCAAACGGG